rnacentral:lncRNA from 1 species
CUAGUAUAAAUAAACGCGAAAGAAAUCCUAAAAUCGAUCCGGUGAUGUCGUUCUUUAUAGUGGACUGGUUUUCGCCGCUCUUCAUUCGUCGGCGGAGGCACUGGUUGGCAUGCGCUUUGUCUGCUGUUGCCUCAACAAGUGUUUCCGGGGGUUUGGGACCGUCUCUGCUUGUCUGUCAUUUGUGGCUUUUGCUUGGGGUCUUCCUUUGUGGAUUUCUGAGUUCUUGGCCACUUAUGGCUCUUCUUGGUUUUCUGCUUGUCUCACUGCCUUUGCUUGCCCCCACUUUAUGUCCACAUUGGCCUCAUGGGCU